AUACGUAGGGUGCGAGCGUUGUCCGGAAUUACUGGGCGUAAAGAGCUCGUAGGUGGUUUGUCGCGGCGUCUGUGAAAUUCCGGGGCUUAACUCCGGGCGUGCAGGCGAUACGGGCAUAACUUGAGUACUGUAGGGGAGACUGGAAUUCCUGGUGUAGCGGUGAAAUGCGCAGAUAUCAGGAGGAACACCGGUGGCGCAGGCGGGUCUCUGGGCAGUAACUGACGCUGAGAAGCGAAAGCAUGGGUAGCGAACAGGAUUAGAUCCCCUGGUAGUCCAUGCCGUAAACGGUGGGCGCUAGGUGUAGGGGUCUUCCACGACUUCUGUGCCGUAGCUAACGCAUUAAGCGCCCCGCCUGGGGAGUACGGCCGCAAGGCUAAAACUCAAAGGAAUUGACGGGG
rnacentral:rRNA from 1 species